UGGCUCAAUGGUAGAGUGCUUGCCUUGCAUGCAUGAGGCCUUGGGUUCGAUUCCUCA
rnacentral:tRNA from 1 species